AGCAGCCGCGGUAAUUCCAGCUCCAAUAGCGUAUAUUAAAGUUGUUGCAGUUAAAAGCUCGUAGUUGAAUUUCGGGAUCAGUAGGUUGGUCAUGCCUUUGGUAUGUACUGGCCUCACUGAUUCCUCCCUCUUGAAGAACCGUAAUGUUAUUAAUUUGGUGUUGCGGGGAAUCAGGACUGUUACUUUGAAAAAAUUAGAGUGUUUAAAGCAGGCUUACGCUUGAAUACAUUAGCAUGGAAUAAUGAAAUAGGACGUAUGAUCCUAUUUUGUUGGUUUCUAGGAUUGACGUAAUGAUUAAUAGGGAUAGUUGGGGGCAUUAGUAUUCAAUUGUCAGAGGUGAAAUUCUUGGAUUUAUUGAAGACUAACUACUACGAAAGCAUUUGCCAAGGAUGUUUUCAUUAAUCAAGAACGAAAGUUAGGGGAUCGAAGACGAUCAGAUACCGUCGUAGUCUUAACCAUAAACUAUGCCGACUAGGGAUCGGAUGAUGUUAAUUUUUUAAUGACUCAUUCGGCGCCUUAC
rnacentral:rRNA from 1 species